UAUGACCAUAUUGCGUUGAAACACCGCUUCCCGAAUGAUCACUGAAGUUAAGCAACGUCGAACCUGGUCAGUUCCUAGAUGAGUGACAGCUUGGUAUUACCAGGUGCUGUAAG